CAGCCGCCGCGGUAAUACGUAGGUGGCAAGCGUUGUCCGGAAUCAUUGGGCGUAAAGCGCGCGCAGGCGGUCCUUUAAGUCUGAUGUGAAAUCUUGCGGCUCAACCGUAAGCGGUCAUUGGAAACUGGGGGACUUGAGUGCAGGAGAGGAAAGCGGAAUUCCAUGUGUAGCGGUGAAAUGCGUAGAGAUAUGGAGGAACACCAGUGGCGAAGGCGGCUUUCUGGCCUGUAACUGACGCUGAGGCGCGAAAGCGUGGGGAGCAAACAGGAUUAGAAACCCGGGUAGUCGACGCCGUAAACGAUGAGUGCUAAGUGUUGGAGGGGUUACGCCCUUCAGUGCUGCAGCUAACGCAGUAAGCACUCCGCCUGGGGAGUACGGUCGCAAGACUGAAACUUAAAGGAAUUGGCGGG
rnacentral:rRNA from 1 species